UACGAAGGGGGCUAGCGUUGCUCGGAAUUACUGGGCGUAAAGCGCACGUAGGCGGCUUUCUAAGUCGGGGGUGAAAUCCUGGAGCUCAACUCCAGAACUGCCUUUGAUACUGCAAAUCUCGAGUCCGAUAGAGGUGGGUGGAAUUCCUAGUGUAGAGGUGAAAUUCGUAGAUAUUAGGAAGAACACCGGUGGCGAAGGCGGCCCACUGGAUCGGUACUGACGCUGAGGUGCGAAAGCGUGGGGAGCAAGCAGG
rnacentral:rRNA from 1 species